rnacentral:rRNA from 1 species
AUUGAACGCUGGCGGCAGGCCUAACACAUGCAAGUCGAGCGGAUGAAGGGAGCUUGCUCCUGGAUUCAGCGGCGGACGGGUGAGUAAUGCCUAGGAAUCUGCCCGGUAGUGGGGGAUAACGUCCGGAAACGGGCGCUAAUACCGCAUACGUCCUGAGGGAGAAAGUGGGGGAUCUUCGGACCUCACGCUAUCAGAUGAGCCUAGGUCGGAUUAGCUAGUUGGUGGGGUAAAGGCCUACCAAGGCGACGAUCCGUAACUGGUCUGAGAGGAUGAUCAGUCACACUGGAACUGAGACACGGUCCAGACUCCUACGGGAGGCAGCAGUGGGGAAUAUUGGACAAUGGGCGAAAGCCUGAUCCAGCCAUGCCGCGUGUGUGAAGAAGGUCUUCGGAUUGUAAAGCACUUUAAGUUGGGAGGUAGGGCAGUAAGUUAAUACCUUGCUGUUUUGACGUUACCAACAGAAUAAGCACCGGCUAACUUCGUG